ensembl:snRNA U2 U2 spliceosomal RNA
AUCGCUUCUCGGCCUUUUGGCUAAGAUCAAGUGUAGUAUCUUUCAAUUAGAGCUUCCCGAAUUUUACUGUACAAAUUAGUCAAAUGGAGAUCUUGU